GGAAGCGUGGCCGAGUGGUGUAAGGCGCUGGUUUCAGGCACCAGUCCUUCUUAGGGCGUUAGUUCGAAUCCAACCGCUGCCA